UACGCGGGCGGUUUGUUAAGCGAGAUGUGAAAGCCCCGGGCUCAACCUGGGAACUGCAUUUCGAACUGGCUAACUAGAGUGUGAUAGAGGGUGGUAGAAUUUCUGGUGUAGCGGUGAAAUGCGUAUAGAUCUGAAGGAAUACCGAUGGCGAAGGCACCCACCUGGGUGAACACUGACGCUCAUGUACGAAAGCGUGGGGAGCAAACGGGAUUAGAUACCCCGGUAGUCCACGCCGUAAACGAUGUCUACUAUAAGCUCGGAACCUCGAUUCUGUUUUUCAAAGCUAACGCAUUAAGUAGACCGCCUGGGGAGUACGGCCGCAAGGUUAAAACUCAAAUGAAUUGACGGGGGCCCGCACAAGCGGUGGAGCAUGUGGUUUAAUUCGAUGCAACGCGAAGAACCUUA
rnacentral:rRNA from 1 species